ensembl:lncRNA LINC02036 long intergenic non-protein coding RNA 2036
UGGCCACGCUACUGAUUUCCUCACAUCCGCAGGGGCGGCCCCAGCACGUGGCCCAUUUUUCAUCCAGUCACUUUGCUGGCACUUGGCGAACGCCUGUCUCUCCCUGGGCUCUGUCCCGGGACCCACAGCAAACUCUCAUCCUUCUUCCCGUUGGCACUUCUUCAGCUCCCAAGUCCUCUCUGUGUUUUCUCUUCUCCAGGCAAAUCCCUGGGUUUUCCAUCCAUGCUUCACUGGAUGCAGUUUCCAAACCCUUCUUCCUUGUAGUUUCUCUCCCCUGGAUAUGCUCCAGCUGCCCAGGGCCCAUUUCAAGAAUUUCUUGAACACUUUUGCUGAUGAACUUGACUUCUGCCUUCAAAGCGAUUUUAACGAGAGGAGGUGCGGAAGACCUACUUAAAACCUGAGAGUCUCGAAUAGGAGAGGCGCUUUCAGAUCAGCCCGAGUCUUCUGCAGCGCACAGGAGCUAGUCGUACUGAAAAGAAUGAAGUUGGACUUGUCCAGGCGAGUUUCGGACAGUGCUGGGCUGCCCUGCUCUGAUCUCCUGGGUGUCUUCACCUCCUCUGGUUCCUAAGUCGGCUGCUGCACCAGCACCCAUCAAACUCUCCUGGAAGAGGAAGUGACAGCUCACCGGUAGCCUAGAAGGCCCCUGUGGGCAGAAGCAUGGACUUACUCCUCCUCAUGGAGAUGCGGCUGAGCCAUAUUUCCUUGGCACCUCUCUGGAACCUUCGACAACCACCACCUCAGACACUAACCAGACUUUAGGUCCAUUCCUUUCAUGGCUAAAAUGAGACAGUCCACAAUGUUGAUUUUAUUUGUAGGGGAUGUCAGGAUUCCAGAAAAGCAGACUUGGAAAGCAACAAAACGUUAACUUGCAGCUCACUGAGGCCCUUACACUUGUUCUGGGCACCUCUGUAUGUUAAAAGAAGUCCAAUAUCUUUAGCUGCUGGUUAUAGGUGGCCAUAUGUUUCUGCACAGAAAUGGGGCUCCCCUUGCUAGACUAAUUUUCUAAUUUUUCCUCAAGCUUCAUUGAUUCAUAUUCUUCUACUUGACCCUGACUGUCAGGACCAACAACACCAAAUAACACCAAAGUCUCUUGCUCCUGUCCUCAGAACCUCUCAGAGGCAUCCUCUGCCCUGUUGGAGCCAUUUUAUUUCAGGUUGAUCCUUAAUUAAAUUCAGCGAGAUGCAG